rnacentral:rRNA from 1 species
AGAGUUUGAUCCUGGCUCAGGAUGAACGCUAGCGGCAGGCCUAACACAUGCAAGUCGAGGGGUAACAUUGGUGCUUGCACCAGAUGACGACCGGCGCACGGGUGCGUAACGCGUAUACAAUCUACCUUUUGCUAAGGGAUAGCCCAGAGAAAUUUGGAUUAAUACCUUAUAGUAUGCAGACUUCUCAUGGAGAUUGCAUUAAAGAUUACGGCAAAAGAUGAGUAUGCGUCCUAUUAGUUUGUUGGUGUGGUAACGGCACACCAAGACUACGAUAGGUAGGGGCCCUGAGAGGGGGAUCCCCCACACUGGUACUGAGACACGGACCAGACUCCUACGGGAGGCAGCAGUGAGGAAUAUUGGACAAUGGAGGCAACUCUGAUCCAGCCAUGCCGCGUGCAGGAAGACUGCCCUAUGGGUUGUAAACUGCUUUUAUACAGGAAGAAACACUCCCUCGUGAGGGAGCUUGACGGUACUGUAAGAAUAAGGAUCGGCUAACUCCGUGCCAGCAGCCGCGGUAAUACGGAGGAUCCAAGCGUUAUCCGGAAUCAUUGGGUUUAAAGGGUCCGUAGGUGGAUAAUUAAGUCAGAGGUGAAAGUUUGCAGCUCAACUGU